rnacentral:sRNA from 1 species
GCUGGGUGUGGUGGCGCGCACUUGUGAUCCCAGUGACUCAGGAAGCUGAGGCAGGAGUAUAGCAAGUUGGGGGUCAGCUUCAGCAACUCGGUGAGGCCCUGUCUUAA